AGUGAACGCUGGCGGUAGGCCUAACACAUGCAAGUCGAACGGCAGCACAGUAAGAGCUUGCUCUUACGGGUGGCGAGUGGCGGACGGGUGAGGAAUACAUCGGAAUCUACUUUUUCGUGGGGGAUAACGUAGGGAAACUUACGCUAAUACCGCAUACGACCUACGGGUGAAAGCAGGGGAUCUUCGGACCUUGCGCGAUUGAAUGAGCCGAUGUCGGAUUAGCUAGUUGGCGGGGUAAAGGCCCACCGAGGCGACGAUCCGUAGCUGGUCUGAGAGGAUGAUCAGCCACACUGGAACUGAGACACGGUCCAGACUCCUACGGGAGGCAGCAGUGGGGAAUAUUGGACAAUGGGCGCAAGCCUGAUCCAGCCAUGCCGCGUGGGUGAAGAAGGUCUUCGGAUUGUAAAGCCCUUUUGUUGGGAAAGAAAGGCAGCAGGUUAAUACCCCGCUGUUCUGACGGUACCAAAAGAAUAAGCACCGGCUAACUUCGUG
rnacentral:rRNA from 1 species